rnacentral:rRNA from 1 species
UGGGGAAUUUUGGACAAUGGGGGAAACCCUGAUCCAGCCAUCCCGCGUGUGCGAUGAAGGCCUUCGGGUUGUAAAGCACUUUUGGCAGGAAAGAAACGUCGCGGGUUAAUACCCCGCGAAACUGACGGUACCUGCAGAGUAAGCACCGGCUAACUACGUGCCAGCAGCCGCGGUAAUACGUAGGGUGCAAGCGUUAAUCGGAAUUACUGGGCGUAAAGCGUGCGCAGGCGGUUCGGAAAGAAAGAUGUGAAAUCCCAGAGCUUAACUUUGGAACUGCAUUUUUAACUACCGGGCUAGAGUGUGUCAGAGGGAGGUGGAAUUCCGCGUGUAGCAGUGAAAUGCGUAGAUAUGCGGAGGAACACCGAUGGCGAAGGCAGCCUCCUGGGAUAACACUGACGCUCAUGCACGAAAGCGUGGGGAGCAAACAGGAUUAGAUACCCUGGUAGUCCACGCCCUAAACGAUGUCAACUAGCUGUUGGGGCCUUCGGGCCUUGGUAGCGCAGCUAACGCGUGAAGUUGACCGCCUGGGGGAGUACGGUCGCAAGAUUAAAACUCAAAGGAAUUGACGGGGUCAUA